AGUCGAGCGGUACAGACCUUCGGGUGCUGACGAGCGGCGGACGGGUGAGUAAUGCUUGGGAACUUGCCUUUAGGAGGGGGAUAACCAUUGGAAACGAUGGCUAAUACCGCAUAACGUCUACGGACCAAAGCAGGGGAUCUUCGGACCUUGCACCUAGAGAUAGGCCCAAGUGAGAUUAGCUAGUUGGUGGGGUAAAGGCCCACCAAGGCGACGAUCUCUAGCUGUUCUGAGAGGAUGAUCAGCCACACUGGGACUGAGACACGGCCCAGACUCCUACGGGAGGCAGCAGUGGGGAAUAUUGCACAAUGGGGGAAACCCUGAUGCAGCCAUGCCGCGUGUGUGAAGAAGGCCUUCGGGUUGUAAAGCACUUUCAGUGGUGAGGAAGGCUUGUAGUUUAAUACGCUACAAGAUUGACGUUAGCCACAGAAGAAGCACCGGCUAACUCCGUGCCAGCAGCCGCGGUAAUACGGAGGGUGCAAGCGUUAAUCGGAAUUACUGGGCGUAAAGCGUACGUAGGCGGCUCAUUAAGCAAGAUGUGAAAGCCCCGGGCUCAACCUGGGAAUGGCAUUUUGAACUGGUGAGCUAGAGUUUUGAAGAGGGUGGUAGAAUUUCCAGUGUAGCGGUGAAAUGCGUAGAUAUUGGAAGGAAUACCAGUGGCGAAAGCGGCCACCUGGUCAAAAACUGACGCUGAGGUACGAAAGCGUGGGGAGCAAAAAGGAUUAGAUACCCUGGUAGUCCACCCCCUAAACGAUGUC
rnacentral:rRNA from 1 species